rnacentral:rRNA from 1 species
GAACUUAGCAGAGAUGCUUUGGUGCCUUCGGGAACUCUGAGACAGGUGCUGCAUGGCUGUCGUCAGCUCGUGUUGUGAAAUGUUGGGUUAAGUCCCGCAACGAGCGCAACCCUUAUCCUUUGUUGCCAGCGGUUAGGCCGGGAACUCAAAGGAGACUGCCAGUGAUAAACUGGAGGAAGGUGGGGAUGACGUCAAGUCAUCAUGGCCCUUACGAGUAGGGCUACACACGUGCUACAAUGGCGCAUACAAAGAGAAGCGACCUCGCGAGAGCAAGCGGACCUCAUAAAGUGCGUCGUAGUCCGGAUUGGAGUCUGCAACUCGACUCCAUGAAGUCGGAAUCGCUAGUAAUCGUGGAUCAGAAUGCCACGGUGAAUACGUUCCCGGGCCUUGUACACACCGCCCGUCACACCAUGGGAGUGGGUUGCAAAAGAAGUAGGUAGCUUAACCUUCGGGAGGGCGCUUACCACUUUGUGAUUCAUGACUGGGGUGAAGUCGUAACAAGGUAGGCGUAGAUGA